CCUACGGGAGGCAGCAGUGGGGAAUAUUGGACAAUGGAGGCAACUCUGAUCCAGCAAUGCCGCGUGUGUGAUGAAGGCCCUAGGGUUGUAAAGCACUUUCAACGGUGAAGAUGAUGACGGUAGCCGUAGAAGAAGCCCCGGCUAACUUCGUGCCAGCAGCCGCGGUAAUACGAAGGGGGCGAGCGUUAUUCGGAAUUAUUGGGCGUAAAGGGCUCGCAGGCUGCUUGAACAGUUAGACGUGAAAUCCCCGGGCUUAACCUGGGAACUGCGUUUAAUACUAGCAAGCUAGAGAAAUAGAGAGGAAAGUGGAACUCCCAGUGUAGAGGUGAAAUUCGUAGAUAUUGGGAAGAACACCAGUGGCGAAAGCGACUUUCUGGCUAUUUUCUGACGCUGAGGAGCGAAAGCGUGGGGAGCAAACAGGAUUAGAUACCCUGGUAGUCCACGCCGUAAACGAUGUGUGCUAGAUGUUGGAGGGUUACCUCUCAGUGUCGCAGCUAACGCACUAAGCACACCGCCUGGGAAGUACGGUCGCAAGAUUAAAACUCAAAGGAAUUGACGG
rnacentral:rRNA from 1 species